rnacentral:rRNA from 1 species
GGAUUGCCUCAGUAACGGCGAGUGAAGCGGCAACAGCUCAAAUUUGAAAUCUGGCUCCCCUGGGGGCCCGAGUUGUAAUUUGUAGAGGAUGCUUCGGCGUGGGCCCCGGUCUAAGUUCCUUGGAACAGGACGUCACAGAGGGUGAGAAUCCCGUACGUGGCCGUGGGUGCUCGCCAUGUGAAGCUCCUUCGACGAGUCGAGUUGUUUGGGAAUGCAGCUCUAAAUGGGAGGUAAAUUUCUUCUAAAGCUAAAUACUGGCCAGAGACCGAUAGCGCACAAGUAGAGUGAUCGAAAGAUGAAAAGCACUUUGGAAAGAGAGUCAAAAAGUACGUGAAAUUGUUGAAAGGGAAGCGCUUGCAACCAGACCUGCCUGCGGUUGCUCAUCCGGGCUCCUGCCCGGUGCACUCUUCCGCAGUCAGGCCAGCAUCAGCUCUGGCGGUCGGAUAAAGGCGGCGGGAAUGUGGCUCCCCUCGGGGAGUGUUAUAGCCCGCCGUGCAAUGCGGCCAGCCGGGACUGAGGUCCGCGCUUCGGCUAGGAUGCUGGCGUAAUGGUUGUAAGCGGCCCGUCUUGAAACACGGACCAAGGAGUCUAACAUCUGUGCGAGUGUUUGGGUGUCAAGCCCAGGCGCGUAAUGAAAGUGAACGGAGGCGGGAACCUUCGGGUGCACCGUCGACCGAUCCUGAUGUCUUCGGAUGGAUUUGAGUAAGAGCAUAGCUGUUGGGACCCGAAAGAUGGUGAACUAUGCCUGAAUAGGGUGAAGCCAGAGGAAACUCUGGUGGAGGCUCGCAGCGGUUCUGACGUGCAAAUCGAUCGUCAAAUUUGGGCAUAGGGGCGAAAGACUAAUCGAACU